GAGUUUGAUCCUGGCUCAGGAUGAACGCUGGCGGCGUGCUUAACACAUGCAAGUCGAGCGAAGCACUUUUGCGGAUUUCUUCGGAUUGAAGCAACUGUGACUGAGCGGCGGACGGGUGAGUAACGCGUGGGUAACCUGCCUCAUACAGGGGGAUAACAGUCAGAAAUGACUGCUAAUACCGCAUGAGACCACAGCACCGCAUGGUGCAGGGGUAAAAACUCCGGUGGUACAGGAUGGACCCGCGUCUGAUUAGCUGGUUGGUGAGGUAACGGCUCACCAAGGCGACGAUCAGUAGCCGGCUUGAGAGAGUGAACGGCCACAUUGGGACUGAGACACGGCCCAGACUCCUACGGGGGGCAGCAGUGGGGGAUAUUGCACAAUGGGCGAAAGCCUGAUGCAGCAACGCCGCGUGAGCGAUGAAGGCCUUCGGGUCGUAAAGCUCUGUCCUCAAGGAAGAUAAUGACGGUACUUGAGGAGGAAGCCCCGGCUAACUACGUGCCAGCCGCCGCGGUAAUUC
rnacentral:rRNA from 1 species